CUCUCGCUACAACCGCACAAUUCUGAGUAUUAAAGCAUAGCACUUAGAUUGGCGAGUCUUAGAAUAUAU
rfam:Pediococcus argentinicus strain DSM 23026 Scaffold15, whole genome shotgun sequence.